UGUACUAUCAUCCAUAACUCUACCACUGCUCUCUUUCUCUCUCUCUGCUGUCUGAUACAAUUGAUAGACCUCCUGACCAUAAUGGAUUGAUGAAAAAAUUUGAUGUUCUAAUCCUCUCCUUAAUCCACUGAAUUCUAAACUUCUGCCUCCAUAAAAUCUCCUGUUGUCUCAGCAAUGAGUGGUGCACCAAGAGCUUGUGGAGAAGCUCCCUCAAGUCAGAUACUCAAAGACCCCCCUCUUGAUCCUCCCUUAGCUGCAGCUCUGCAAUAUCCACCUCCACCCCC
rnacentral:lncRNA from 1 species